rnacentral:rRNA from 1 species
UACGUAGGUGGCAAGCGUUGUCCGGAAUUAUUGGGCGUAAAGCGCGCGCAGGCGGUCCUUUAAGUCUGAUGUGAAAGCCCACGGCUCAACCGUGGAGGGUCAUUGGAAACUGAAGGACUUGAGUACAGAAGAGGAAAGCGGAAUUCCACGUGUAGCGGUGAAAUGCGUAGAGAUGUGGAGGAACACCAGUGGCGAAGGCGGCUUUCUGGUCUGUAACUGACGCUGAGGCGCGAAAGCGUGGGGAGCAAACAGG